rnacentral:rRNA from 1 species
ACACGUAGGGGGCGAGCGUUGUUCGGAAUCAUUGGGCGUAAAGGGCGUGCAGGCGGUCCUGCAAGUCCGGCGUGAAAGACCCCGGCCCAACCGGGGGGACGCGCUGGAAACUGCGGGGCUUGAGUACAGGAGGGGAUGCCGGAAUUCCAGGUGUAGGGGUGAAAUCUGUAGAUAUCUGGAAGAACAGCAAUGGCGAAGGCAGGCAUCUGGCCAGGGACUGACGGUGAGACGAGAAGGUGCGGGGAGCAAACAGGUUUAGAUGCCCUGGUGGGCCGCACAGUAAAGGAGGUGCGACAGGUGGCGGGGGGUCGACCCUGGGUACCGUAGCUAACGCAUUAAGUGCACCGCCUGGGGAGUAUGCUCGCAAGGGUGAAACUCAAAGGAAUUGACGGGG